rnacentral:rRNA from 1 species
CACUCCUGCGGGAGGCAGCAGUGGGGAAUUUUGGACAAUGGGCGAAAGCCUGAUCCAGCCAUGCCGCGUGCAGGAUGAAGGCCUUCGGGUUGUAAACUGCUUUUGUACGGAACGAAACGGCCUUUUCUAAUAAAGAGGGCUAAUGACGGUACCGUAAGAAUAAGCACCGGCUAACUACGUGCCAGCAGCCGCGGUAAUACGUAGGGUGCAAGCGUUAAUCGGAAUUACUGGGCGUAAAGCGUGCGCAGGCGGUUAUGUAAGACAGUUGUGAAAUCCCCGGGCUCAACCUGGGAACUGCAUCUGUGACUGCAUAGCUAGAGUACGGUAGAGGGGGAUGGAAUUCCGCGUGUAGCAGUGAAAUGCGUAGAUAUGCGGAGGAACACCGAUGGCGAAGGCAAUCCCCUGGACCUGUACUGACGCUCAUGCACGAAAGCGUGGGGAGCAAACAGGAUUAGAAACCCUAGUAGUACC